CCUUCGGUUGUAAAGCACUUUCAGUGGGGAGGAAAGAAUUAGGGCUAAUACCCUGAUAGAAGACGUUACCCACAGAAGAAGCACCGGCUAACUCUGUGC
rnacentral:rRNA from 1 species